UAGGGAAUAUUAGUAAUGGGCGAAAGCCUGAACUAGCAACGCCGCGUGUGCGAAGAAGGCCUUCGGGUUGUAAAGCACUUGUAGAGAGGAUGAGGAAGGACGGUACUCUCAGAAUAAGUCUCGGCUAACUACGUGCCAGCAGCCACGGUAACACGUAGGAGGCGAACGUUAUCCGGAUUUACUGGGCGUAAAGCGCGUGUAGGUGGUUUGGUAAGUAGGGCGUGAAAGCUCCCGGCUCAACUGGGAGAGGCCGUUCUAAACUGCCAAGCUAGAGGAUGGUAGAGGGAGGUGAAAUUCCGGGGGUAGCGGUGGAAUGCGCAGAUAUCCGGAGGAACACCAGUGGCGAAGGCGGCCUCCUGGGCCACUCCUGAGACUCAGACGCGAAAGCUAGGGU
rnacentral:rRNA from 1 species